GCCAGGUGUGGUGGUGCACGCCUGUAGUCCCAGAUACUGAGGGGACUGAGGCAGGAGGAUCGCUUGAGCCUGGGAGCUCAAGGCUGCAGUGAGCCUUGAAUUGUGCCACUGCACUCCAGCCUGGGCAAUAGAGUGAGACCCUGUCUCAA
rnacentral:SRP_RNA from 1 species